rnacentral:misc_RNA from 1 species
UGUCUCCUCCAUUUUUCCUUUCCGUUCGGCCCCACUCCUAUUCCGAACUCAGCCGCCUCCCUCUCUCGUGUCGUGCCUCAGCGUGCAUGUGCGCGCGCGUAUAUGUGCGACAGUGCGUAGUAACUUGAUCUGGCUCACUGCGUACUCUCUGAGUGUGCGCGUGCGUCUCUCCUCACACCCUCUUUCUUCUUCCUUGGUGGCCGAGCACACCCAGGCCGAAUUGACGACGAUGCCGCCGCCACCGAGAGACCGUUACCACUCAGUCCGCAGGCUGCCAAGCCGUCCAGGGCAACACCAGCAGCAGCAGCAGUAUGCGAAGAAGGAUGUGCCGCGGCAUGCUGGCAAGAAGAUGAGCGCCGCGGCAGGACCGUCCGCCACCGGCCCCUCUGCCUCGGCAGUCACCGAAGCGUCCACUGCACGCGAAGUGGCGCUACGCGAGGCCCUCGCGAAAGCCCUCAGCCACGGCGGCGUUGAGGGCGGCGCCGCAUCGACCUCAGAAAACAGCGUGGACACUUACGGGAACGGCUCCCCGACGGACCGCCUUCAGUUUGGUUACAGUCCCUCCGUCGCGGCAGAGGCCGUCGCCUUUCACACGCGUUUCACGAAGGAUGCGUGGGUGACCGCACGCAAGCGCAACGGCCGCCUCGUUUUUGUAAAGAAGCAGAAGCUCGGAGUCACCAACUGCGAGCCCAUCACCUCCAUCCUGAAGCUGCAGAGUCACUGGAAGCAGAUGAACGCCUUCCAGAGCGACGUACAAGGUGGUGCCGUUAGAAAACUGAAGGCGGAGGACCUCGACAUGCUCGUCGACAUGCUAGCCUCUAAGCAGCGCAUCGGUGACGACGAGGACGAGGCGUAGCAGUGAUGCUGUGUCGGUGCGUGCACGGACAUGGAGGCAUAGUAAGAAGGAAACGGCGCCGUGUGUAAACAUGUAUCCUCGUGAGUGUGUGGUUGUCUGGGCAGGAGAACGGAAGACAGACGAUGAGGGAGGCGUGGCUGCGAAGUAUUGUGCCGCGUGGCACACUACCCGUGGCAUUCCACCCGCCGUCUCUCCCUUUGCGAGUGUUCUUGUUCUCCCCUUCUCGUACCUCUAAUGAUCGCGU